rnacentral:lncRNA from 1 species
AUAAUAUGACAGGAAUAAUGCCACAGGUAAUGGGGCACUUAACCAGCUUAACUGCUCUUAGCCUAUCUAACAACAGCAUUAGUGGAUCUAUAUCACCGGGGCUACAGAAUUUCACUAGUUUGGAGGAAUUAUAUCUCAGUUCCAACUACCUUAGUGGCCAGAUACCAUUGCUGCCAAGAGGCCUCAAAAUGUUGGAUGUCUCCGUGAACUUCUUGUCUGGGCAUUUGCACUUCGGAGCUCCAAAUAUUGAAGUACUAAUUCUAUCCUCUAAUAAAAUUACUGGUCCUAUUCCUGAAAAGUUUUGUGAGUUGCAAUAUCUACAUGUCUUGGAUUUGUCAAACAAUUAUUUCGCGGGAGAACUUCCUGUAUGUUCUUCGAUGCCAUACCUACACUGCUUGCUCCUAAGUUACAACAAAUUUUCUGGAAAGUUCCCAUCCUUGAUCCAACGCCUCUCCAAUCUAACUUUGCUUGAUCUUUCAUGGAACAAUUUCUAUGGGACAUUACCAAUAUGGAUCGGACAUCUGGCAGAGCUGCGAUUCCUAGAUCUGAGCCACAACAUGUUACAUGGGAGUAUUCCAGCGAAUAUCACACAUCUUAGACGACUUCAACUCUUAAAUUUAUCAUUCAACAAUAUAUCAGGAUCAAUUCCUCAGUCAUUAUCAAAGCUAAUGGCAAUGACAAUAAUAUAUCAGGAUCAACCUGAUUGGUACGUAGGUUGGGUAAAUAAUGAGUUCCUAGAUAUUUUGUCUGCAGUGACGAAGCAUCUACAACACAAGUAUGCCGCACAAAGUAUUUUUUAUAUUGUUGACAUCGACUUGUCUGUCAAUCAUUUAAUUGGAGGAAUUCCAGAUGAAAUAGCUUCUCUUGAUGGAUUGAAAUACUUAAAUUUGUCAAGGAAUUGCUUGAGAGGAAACAUUCCAAAGAAUAUUGGCGCUAUGGAAUUAGUGGAAUCAGUUGACUUCUCAUGGAACAGUCUUUCUGGUGAAAUCCCUGCAAGCUUGUCAAACUUGACAUUUUUAAGUGUCUUGGACUUGUCAUAUAACAAUCUAUCAGGAAGAAUACCGUCUGGGCGUCAGCUUGAGACCGUCUACGACAACAACCCAACUAUGUAUGAUGGGAAUAAUAAUCUCUGCGGACCCCCUCUUCAGAGAAACUGCUCAUCAGGAAAUAGUGAUCCUAAGCAUGGUAAUGAAAAGGCAAGCGGAGAGAAUUCAGAAUCAUUGUUCUUUUACUUGGGACUUGUAUCAGGGUUCGCAGUUGGCCUCUUGGGGGUGCUGUGUUCUGUACUCUUCAAGAAGCCAUGAAGAAUUGCUUUUAUCCAGUAGCAGAUUUAUUGUUGUGUAAUCAUACAUCAUCAUUUUAAUUUGAGGCCGGCACUCUGUUGGGGUUGGAUAUAUUAAUAACAUGUGGGAUUGCAUGUGGUCAGGUUGCUGAACGGAAUUGCAUGUGGGAUCAGCGAGGUCGUACACCAUUAAUAACAUAGACGGCAUGCAUGGCUGGAAAGCCACGUCACCAGCAUUAUUUCUCGAACACGAAACCUAACCAUUAAUAAGGCUAGUAGGUUCAUGGAGAGUUUUAUCACAUUAAAUUCGAAAAUACCAUAUCAUCAAUUUUGCUGACAAAACGAGAAUAGAGAAGGAAAGAGUUAUAGGGGAUGCGAGAGGAGUUUCAUUGCCUAAAACUCACGUGGCACAGUUACCUAGUUCAGAGGCGGGCUCAGAAUUGGAAGACUGGAUAUUCAAAAAUUUAAAAUCUAUAACAACUUAACCGUUUCAACACUAUUUUUUAGCAAAAAUAUUCUUAAAUACUAUUGAUUUGUAAAAAAUAAUGGGUAUUCAGUGAAUACCCUUGAAUAUCCUCACCCGUCUCUGAUCUGGUUUCCAGUCUUGAUAAGUGAACUAUAAAACUGUACACUGAGACCGGCAUAACAAGACAUGCAUAAUGUUUCUGCCGUCCUUGCUUGAUGGGUCCAUUCUUGCAUUGGUCACGUCACGUCGGGAAGUUCCCUAAACCGGAGCAGCACCCACCUUGCAUUCAUCAGUUCGUCACUGUAUCAACAAGACAACAACGACCACGGAUAACGGAGCAGGCGGGAGGCGGGAGGCGGGAGGCGUGGGCUUUCAUCGGGCCAGGCAGGAACUCCUUCCUCCCUGUAUCGUCAAGACAGCAACAUUACUGCCGUAUCGGUUUGCUAACCUCAGGAGACCAGGCUCAAAUAAGCGCAACGCGGCCCACCCGUCGGGGUUGGAAGGAGGGAAACGGGCCUGAGCUUAACGCUGUUAAAAGCGCGAUUGCCUCGCGUUGGUUGGUGGACUAGGCGUGGGCUCGUUGGCUCUCUCUCGGCCCAUACCGAUGACGACAUCCAAAACUCUGGGCCCCUCCCACGCAGCUGAGCUCCUGUCUGAGAGGCAAGGCCUCCGUGUGCCGUGGAGCCUGCUUCUUCUUCUCGUGGGGCAGCGUUGGGCUCGAUCCAGCCCUCCUUCCAACUCCACCCCAACCCUUUUUGUUUCUUUUUCUCUGCGCUUGUACCACGUCAGGCCAAAUGGCCACAGUGCAGACAACAAGAGAGAAAAGAUCUUUCACAGUAAAGCAAGAAAAGAAACCUUGCAAGUGCAAGUUGUCCUCCACAUGAGCGCACUCAUAUGGUAGUAAAAGUGUUGGCGGAGCAACACCUCUAGCUCUUUCUCCAAAGAAGAAAAGAAACAGAGCGCAUUCAUUCCUACAUUGCUAUGAAUACAUGCGUGCGCGCGUUCAACGGUAAUGCACUUUCUCCAAUCUUUUCUCUACCAUGUGUAUGAACGCGCACGCGCGCGUAUGAUGUGAGUGUUGUGUGCGUCCUUGUAUGUACCCUUAAAAAAGAACCCCAAACAAUUUCAAAAACCUCUUUGCGGGAUGAUGCCAAAAGAGGAAUACGAUAUGCCCUUUUGAUCUCUCCGAACACCUGGUGGACGUGUGUGCAAAAACCAAGCCUAGCUAAGAUGCAGCGCCCGAACACAGUUGGGCGUGAGAUCACGAUGCAGACGGCGGACGGGCAGAGGGAUAGUUCCACGGCCAUCCCCAUCUCCAUUUUGCGGCGAAGGGGACGGAGCAACUUGCGGGGGCCAUACAUGUGUGACUCCAUGAGGCUUACAGAUUUUAGAUCAGUGGCGUCCUGGUUGCUCUAUGAUCUAGUUGCUAUCGUCUUCGCAAAUCUCUGCUGGAUUGAAACCGGGUCAAUGUCGACGAUCGAGAGAGAGAUGGCCGUAGCUCGCAUCGCAAUCUCGUGAAAAGCAAAAGACCUUUGCGACGGCGCUGCCUUUUGUCCGCCACGCUAAUCCAACAAAGCAACUCCACGGAAAAGCCAUUCUAAAGCUUGACGACGAUUGGUAACAACAAGACACACUCAAGAAACAGAUAUGCACAGAAAAAUGUACUACCUCUGCUCUAAAAUAUAACAAUUUUUUACCACCUCUGUUACAAAAUAUGACAACUUUAUGACCAAGUCAAAGUUAAAUAUUUUCAUCUUUGACCAAUAAUAUCUCAAAAAAUAAUAACUUUUAAAUAGAAAAGGUUAUAUAUUGGUUUCAUUAUGAACAAACUAAUAUCACUUUUAUAUCAUCAAUCUUUAUAUUCUUUUUACCAUCUGCGGUCAAAGUUUAAAAGGUUUGGUUUGAACAAACCUAAAAAUAGCUAUAUUUUGAGUCAGAGGUAGUAGGAUGAAAAAAAUCAGUUGGCACUAGAAUCAUGGAUAACAGGAUAGGAAGUGAGCAUAGCUCAGUUACAAAUGUGACAGUAGUAAUAUCUGAACCGCCAAAGUUCAAUUCCUCCACACCUCAAUUUUAAGUGCCUAUUUCUUCUCUCUAAUCUAAUUUUUAGUGGUGUAAUUAAAUCACCACCUAGUUCCUUCAAGAUUGGAUUUCGAGCGGCAGCAGAACAAGAAAAUGACAAAGUAAAAUUGCUGUAUCCAGCCUUCCAGAAGCAGAGCAACAAGCCCAUAGUUGAGCUUCAGAUCAUGCAUGACACGGACGCUGGAUGUUUCUUUGCCCCGGCCGUCUCCAAUGGCGACGACGGGGAGCAACUUGUAACGUUGCAGCCUAACUUUGUUAGUAGCGUCCCUGUUGCUUGCAACUGCAAAGCUGCAAUGCAGUCGCUUUCGCCUUCAGAAAUCUCCACCUCAUUUAUUUAAACCGGGUCAAGGUCCACGAGAGAGAAAGAUAGCGGUUGCUUGCAUCGCAAUCUGACUUGAAUUGGCGGGGAGCUGCAGGCGAGGAAAAUGAUAGGUGAUUAAUUAUUAAUCAAGUCCGUCUUCACAUACAGAGCCUGCUCGCAUCUUCACGCCGUCUUCACAUACAGAGCCUGCUUGGUUACCGCCACCGGACACCACUCGCCACGCACGUGCUGCAUGGCGAGUGGUGGCCGGUAACCAGGCCCAUACUUCCCUGAUUAAUCAGUGAUGUGGUUCUCUCCAAGAGCACAACUACGUUAAUUUGGCCUUGAGAUCUCUUCUACGUUUUCCUUUUUUGAUCAUCGUUUUGUUUUUUGUCAUAACUUUUUAUGGUGGUGAUGUUGUGAUCACAUCUAAUAUAUAUGGGUGAUAAAUCAAUCUACUGUUCCCAUAGAUAUAUAUAUAUAUAUAUAUAUAUAUAUAUAUAUACACACACACACACAAAGCGCACUUUUUGUCAUAACUUUUUAGAUAAGAAAAUGUAGCAUAUUAGUUCCUUUUCAGAGCUGAGAUGCUGCAUUUUUUAUCUUUUUUCAGAUAGCCACUGAUGAGCACCUACUAUUGCCAAGGCAUGAGAAUCAAAUGCCCCCCUUAAUUUUCGAGGAGAUGCGAGAACAAAUGGGGAGGGCCCUCCCAUGUCCCAUAUCAUGAGAUCGAGAUUAAGAAACCCCGCCCAUCCAAUCCAACAGCCGCCAGAUUCCAGCCAGACCUAACUAUUAAUAACAUAGACGGCAUGCAUGGCUCGAAAGUCACGUCACCAGCAUUAUUUCUCGAACACGAAACCUAACCAUUAAUAAGGCUAGUAGGUUCUUAGAGAGUUUUAUUGCAUUAAAUUCGAUGCCACAUCAUCAAUUUUACUGACAAAACCAGAAGAGAGAAGAAAAGAGUUAUAGGGAAUGUGAGAGGAGUUUCAUCACCCUAAAACUCACGUGGCACAGUUACCUAGUUUAGAGGCGGGCUUAGAAUUGGAAGACUGGGUAUUCAAAAAUUCAAAAUCUAUAAAAACGUAACCGUCUCAACACUAUUUUUUAGCAAAAAUAUUCUUAAAUACCAUUGAUUUGUAAAAAAUAAUGGGUAUUCAGUGAAUACCCUUGAAUAUCCUCACCCGUCCCUGAUCUGGUUUCCAUUUUUGAUAAGUGUACCAUAAAAACUAUAUUAUAAAACUUUGCACUGAGACUGGCAUAACGAGGCAUGCAUAAUGUUUCUGCCUUCCUUGCUCGGUCGGUUCAUUCUUGUGUUGGUCACGUCACGUCGGGAAGUUCCCUAAACCGGAGCAGCAGCCACCUUGCAUUCAUCAUUUCGUCGUCGUAUCAACAAGACAACAACUACCGCGGAUGACGGAGUAGUCGGGAGGCGGGAGGCGUGGGCUUUCAUCGGGCCAGGCAUGAACUCCUUCCUCCCUGUCUCGUCAAGACAGCAACACUAGUGCCGUAUCGGUUUGCUAACCUCGGGGGACCAGGAUCAAAUAAGCGCAACACGGCCCACCCGUCAAGGUUGGAAGGAGGGAAACGGGCCUGAGCUUAACGCCGUUAAAAGCGCGAUUGCCCCGGGUUGUUUGGUGGACUAGGCGUGGGCUCUCUCUCGGCCCAUACCGAUGACGACAUCCGAAACUCUGGGCCCCUCCCACGCAGCUGGGCUCCUGUCUGAGAGGCAAGGCCUCCGUGUGCCGUGGAGCCCCUGCUUCUUCUUCUCGUGGGGCAGCGUUGGGCUCGACCCAGCCCUCCUUCCAACUCCACCCCCAACCCUUUUUGUUUUUUUUCUCUUUGCGCUUGUACCACGUCAGGCCAAAUGGCCACGGUGCAGACAACAAGAGAUAAAGAUCUUUCACAGUAAAGCAAGAAAACAAACCUUGCAAGUGCAAGUUGUCCUCCACAUGAGCGCACUCAUAUGGUAGUAAAAGUGUUGGCAGAGCAACACCUCUAGCUAAACAGAGCGCAUCCAUUCCUAAAUUGCUAUGAAUACAAGCGUGCGCGCGUUCAGCGCUAAUGCAGGUUUCUCCAAUCUUUUCUCUACCAUGUGUAUGAACGCGCAGGCGCGUGUAUGAUGUGAGUGUUGUGUGCGUCCUUGUAUGUACCCUUAAAAAGAUCCCCAAACAAUUUCAGAAACCUCUUUGCGGGGUGAUGCCAAAAGAGGAAUAAGAGAUGCCCUUUUGAUCUCUCCGAACACCUAUACCUGGUGGACGUGUGUGCAAAAAUCGAGCCUAGCUAAGAUGCAGCGGCCGAACACAGUUGGGCGUGAGAUCAUGAUGGAGACGGCGGACGGGUGGACGGAUAGUCCCAUGGUCAGAACACAGUUGGGCGUGAGAUCACGAUGCAGACGGCGGACAGGCGGAGGGAUAGUUCCACGGCCAUCCCCAUCUCCAUUUUCCGGCGAAGGGGACGGAGCAACUUGCGGAGGGCCAUACAUGUGUGACUCCAUGAGGCUUACAGAUUUUAGAUCAGUGGCGUCCCGGUUGCUCUACGAUCUAGUCGAUAUCGUCUUCGCAAAUAUCUGCUGGAUUGAAACCGGGUCAAUGUCGACGAUCCAGAGAGAGAUGGCUGUAGCUCGCAUUGCAAUCUCGUGAAAAGCAAGAGACCUUUGCGACGGCGCUGCCUUUUGUCCGCCACGCUAAUCCAACAAAGCAACUCCAUGUAAAAGCCAUUCUAAAGCUUGACGACGAUAGGUAACGACAAGACACACUCAAGAAACAGAUAUGCACAUCGCAAUGGGUACAACAGGUACUCUCACAUCUCUUCUCUUGUUCUCCGUUCUCCCCAAUUUACCCCAACCCCAGGGACUAUUUAGCUGAUUCGUUUUCACUGCAAAAAUUGGUAGUGCUAUUUAGUUGUUUAUGCGUACGGAUGGUGAUGAGUCAUGCUCCAAAUGUUCAUUUAUAAUUCAACUCGGUAUUUUUACCACUCCUAGUUUAAAAAUAUGUAAAAUAUAAGUUCAACUCUUUUUAAGUUUGAUCUUUAAAGUUUUAGAUCAUUUAUCAUCCCUAUGUAUAUAUACAUGGUAGUAGGACUGUUGACAAUUUAGACGAAAUCCACCUCGAUUUGGAGUUUUUCUACUUCCUCCGUAAAAAAAGUGCAACUCAUUUUUCAAGAAGUCAAAUAAUUUCAAAUUUGAUCAAGUCUGUACAGAAAAUUAUUAGCAUUUAUAUCUCCAAAUAGAUUUAGUAUGAAAAUAAAUUACAUGAUUGGACUGUCUAAUGAUACUUACUGUAUAAUAUAAUAUUAAUAUUUAUUUUAUAUAAAUUAGAUUAAAUUUAAAAUUAUUUGACUUCUCGGAAAGCGUAAGUUGUAUUUUUCUUGAACGGAGGGGUUAGGUAUCUACGGAGCUCCAAAAUAUAGUAUCCGGGGGCCAGCAUCUAGCAUGUAUUCAAUUUGCUUCACCCUGCUUGGUGCAUGCCUCCUUCUUUUGCCGUUGUUGGAUUGGAUAUCAGCUCGACCAGAUGAUCGCACUCUCUGAUCUUCCCGAGCCUCGUCGUCCUUCUUCCUAGCAAACCCAACGAAGAAAUCAUAGCUAGUCAGUGUUGGUCAACCGAAUGAGAUUCCACGUGGGUCUUGCAAGGUCUGAGCACUAACCUAACCUAAUCUGUGUUUUGUCGUCGAUGGUCUACCGUAUGUGGUGGGCUGUAUCUACGAACACGCGCCGGGCGCACGACGUCGUUUUUGGGCCCAUCAUGCAAUUGGGCCAGGGAUUACAUUAGUGCCGCAUCGAUUUACUAACCACGGGGGACCAGCCGUGACGAAGCCCACGGCGCCUCGGGGUUGGAAGGGGGCGAUUGUGGAUCAUGGGUGGGCCGAACGCGCCGGCUCCGGAGUCGUGCCGCUCCGAUGCCUCCACCGUCACCCUCCACCAUGGCCACCGCUAUCCCGAACUUCUUCUUCAACUCCGGCCGAGCUGAUGACGACACCGGAAAUGCAUGCUAGGAUCGCUGCCUAUAAUGGACGGUGACCGCUAACGCAUCCAAAUGGGCUUUGCCUCGGGGAAAAGGCCUCCGUACCGUGGGCCUGCUUUCUUCUCGUUGGGCAGCGUUGGGCUCGACCCAGCCCCCUCCUUCCAACUUCACCUCCACUCUCCUUUUUUGUUUUUUCCCUGCCGGAGUCGUAGCCAUCUCCGGAUUUGCUUUGUUCCUGUUUGUGUGGUGAGGUCAGGCUGCUGCGUCAGCGCCUCGCCUUUGUCUGCCGGCAUGAUUGUGCAUAGCCAGGGGCGACGCCACGUUAAGUCUGCCCAGGGUAAAUUUUUUUUGCCACUAAUUAAACUUAAAAUUAUCAUAUAAUUCUAAGAAGUUAUUUUAGUCCCUGAAGGAGUGCACCAUGGUCAAUUGGAAACUAGCUUCGCCCCUGUGCGUAGCGGACACGAGCUUGCGUAGAGCCAGCAAUGGAUCUCCUCAUCCUCAUUUCCCAUGCUGCAGCUUUCACUGGAUAUUUCCUUUCAAAAAAAAAAUCACUGGCUACAGUGACCAGCAGGGCAACGGUUCCAAGCUUCUCAGUACAGAAUCAUUGUUGCGGUAUACUAUAUAUCCUUUCUCCGUACUGUAUCCAGCUGAAAUGCUUCCAAAAUUCUAUUGUGACUUGUAUUUUUCCGAAUUUUCCUUAGUGGGUUAACUUUUUGUUGCCCAUUUGACACGCUUUUGCUAGAAUUUCAUAAGGCCAAUUACUUGACGUGUUAGUGCGUCUUGUAUUUACGUUCCUUUGCCACCUCUAGUUACAUUGUUGUAUGUGUGAUUAUUCAGUUUUAUGUGGACCAUACAUGGCAUUCCAGAACUUGUGGUCACCGGUCUUUAUUUGAAUAUUCAACCACGUAGUCAACUUGUGGUGACAACUACACUACCAAGUAAUUUUCAUUCUUGCCGUGUCAUAUAAUCUCACAUGCACCCACACCAAAAUGCAAAAUCAACAAGCAAAUUUUCACCAUGUAUAAUGAUCAAAUUCUCCUAAAAAAUUGUAUAACGAUCAAAUUCAUAAACCCACAAGGCAAGCGCACCCCCUUCUAAUUUGCUCUAGCUUCACCAUUUGCAGGGUUACAAAUCUUUAUGAUCCAAUCUCCUACGAGCAUUUAUAGAUGUGAGUAUAACUGACUGCGUGAAGAUCCCUGUUAUGAUCAUUUAUAGAAAAAAGUAUUUAACAAAACUUAUCUUCUCCGUGUAUGUGUGAUGGAAAAACGCUGUCUAAUUGGAACCCCAUUUUUCCUUGUGUUUUCCAGCCAUGCAUGCUAGUGUUACGUCGUUGUUAGUUGUUGCUCAGUUUACGUGGACCGCAACGUCUUAUUCCACAACUUUAUGUGGUCACCAGCCUUUGAAAUUCUCCGACGUGCUCUUCAGUCAAUGAAAUUUGCUAGAUCUUUGGAUCGCAGCAGGAAUUUAAGAGCACACACAGCUCAGACCUUCUAGCACUCUACUAGCAGAUAGCUUUGCUCAUUGCCAGGUACUGCAUGCACAGACCACACCACUUACUAUGCAUCCCUCCGCUGCCAAGCUCUUGCUUCUUAUCGUGGCCGCCGCCUCGAGCUUCUUGUCGGUGGCAUCGCAUGGACUGCGGCCGCGGCAGCUCAAGCGGAACGCGAGCUGCUUGCCGCACGAGAGGGACGCGUUGCUGGCCUUCAAGGAAAACAUCACCAGCGACCCUGAAGGCAUCCUCUCGUCGUGGCGACGAGGGCGGAAGGACUGCUGCCGGUGGAUGGGCGUCACCUGCAGCAACCAAACCGGCCAUGUCCUCGAGCUUGACCUAAGCUAUAGAAAUUUGGCAGGCCAGAUAAGUCCUUCCUUACUGUCUCUAGAGCAUCUGGAGCACUUGGAUUUAGGCGGCACAUACUUAUCUGGUCAUGAUGGUCGUUUUCCCGAAUUCCUGUGUUCUUUCAAAAACUUGCGAUAUCUCGACCUCACCCACAACGCAUACGCUUUGCCGAGUGAGGUGCCGCCUCAGCUCGGUAACCUCUCAAACCUGCGACAUCUUGGUCUCGCUUCUAAUUAUUUGUACGCAACCGAUAUCUCAUGGUUAGUUCAUCUUCAUCAGCUUGAGUAUCUUGAGAUGGACGGCAUAAAUCUAAGUACAAUAGAUAAUUGGCUUCAUGUGGUAAACAUGAUUCCAUCUCUGAAGUUUCUCUCCCUUUGGAACUGCUCCCUUCCCAGAGCAAACCAAUCGCUCACUCACAUAAACCUCACAAAACUUGAGGUGCUUGAUUUAUCCACGAACUACUUUGGGCACCCAAUUGCAUCCAGUUGGUUUUGGAACAUAACAAGCAUUCAACUCCUCUUGCUAAGUUCAACCUAUCUUUACGGUCCUUUCCCUGAUGCACUAGGACGAAUGACGUCCCUCUCUAUCCUGGGAUUUCGGGAAAAUGGAAACUCAGCCACGAUGGCAGUAGACUUGAAAAAUCUAUGUGAAUUGCGUAAUCUGUUGCUCGAUGGGAGCCUAUCAUCUGCGAACAUAACAGAGUUCAUAGAGAAGUUGCCACAAUGUUCUUCUAACAAAUUAUACUACCUAAGUUUGAAUGACAAUAAUAUGACAGGAAUAAUGCCACAGGUAAUGGGGCACCUAACCAGCUUAGGUAUUCUUAGCCUAUCUAACAACAGCAUUAGUGGAUCUAUAUCACCAGGGCUACAGAAUUUCACUAGUUUGGAGGCAUUAUUUCUCAGUUCCAACCACCUUAGUGGCCAGAUACCAUUGCUGCCAAGAGGCCUCGAAAUAUUGGAUGUCUCCAUGAACUUCUUGUCUGGGCAUUUUCACUUCCGAGCUCCAAAUAUUGAAGUACUAAUUCUAUCCUCUAAUAAAAUUACUGGUCCUAUUCCUGAAAAGUUUUGUGAGUUGCAAUAUCUAAGUGACUUGGAUUUGUCAAACAAUUCUUUCGUGGGAGAACUUCCUGUAUGUUCUUCGAUGCCAUACCUACGCUCCUUUCUCCUAAGUAACAACGAAUUUUCUGGAAAGUUCCCAUCCUUGAUCCAAAGCCUCUCCAAUCUAACUUUGCUUGAUCUUUCAUGGAACAAAUUCUAUGGGACAUUACCAAGAUGGAUCGGACAUCUGGCAAAGCUGCGAUUCCUAGAUCUGAGCCACAACAUGUUAUAUGGGAGUAUUCCAGUGAAUAUCACACAUCUUAGACAACUUCAACUAUUGAAUUUAUCAUUCAACAAUAUAUCAGGAUCAAUUCCUAAGUCAUUAUCAAAGCUAAUGGCAAUGACAAAAACGCAUAUACCUACAACUUAUGGAUUUGAUUGGUACACAGGUUGGGCAAAUAAUGAGUUCCUAGAUAUUUUGUCUGCAGUGACGAAGCAUCAACAACACAAGUAUGGCGCACAAAGUAUUUUUUAUAUUGUUGACAUCGACUUGUCCGUCAAUCAUUUAACUGGAGGAAUUCCAGAUGAAAUGGCUUCUCUUCACGGAUUGAGAUACUUAAAUUUGUCAAGGAAUUGCUUGAGAGGAAACAUUCCAAAGAAUAUUGGCGCUAUGGAAUCAGUGGAAUCAGUUGACUUCUCAUGGAACAGUCUUUCUGGUGAAAUCCCUGCAAGCUUGUCAGACUUGACAUUUCUAAGUGUCUUGGACUUGUCAUAUAACAAUCUAUCAGGAAGGAUACCGUCUGGGCGUCAGCUUGAGACCGUCUACGACAACAACCCAACUAUGUAUGUUGGGAAUAAUAAUCUAUGUGGACCCCCUCUUCAGAGAAACUGCUCAUUAGGAAAUAGUGAUCCUAAGCAUGGUAAUUUAAAGGCAAGCCGAGAGGAUUCAGAAUCAUUGUUCUUUUACUUAGAACUUGUAUCAGGGUUCAUAGUUGGCCUCUGGGGGGUGCUGUGUGCUCUACUCUUCAAGAAGCCAUGAAGAAUUGCUUUUAUCCGGUAGCAUAAUUAUUGUUGUGUGAUCAUACAUCAUCAUUUUAAUUUGAGGCCGGCACUCUGUUGGGGUUGGAUAUAUUAAUAACAUGUGGGAUUGAAUGUGGGACCAGCGAGGUCGUACACCAUUAAUAACAUAGACGGCAUGCAUGGCUCGAAAGCCACGUCACCAGCAUUAUUUCUCGAACACGAAACCUAACCAUUAAUAAGGCUAGUAGGUUCAUGGAGAGUUUUAUCGCAUUAAAUUCGAUGCCACAUUAUUAAUUUUACUGACAAAACGAGAAGAGAGAAGGAAAGAGUUAUAGGGAAUGUGAGAGGAGUUUCAUCACCCUAAAACUCACGUGGCACAGUUACCUAGUUCAGAGGCGGGUUCAGGAUUGGAAGACUAGGUAUUCAAAAAUUCAAAAUCUAUAAAAACUUAACCGUUUCAACACUAUUUUUUAGCAAAAAUAUUCUUAAAUACCAUUGAUUUGUAAAAAUAAUGGGCAUUUAGUGAGUACCCUUAAAUACCCUGAUCCGUCCCUAACCUGGUUCCCAGUCUUAAUAAGUGUACCAUAAAACUGUAUUAUAACUGUGCACUGAGACUGGCAUAACAAGGCAUGCAUAAUGUUUCUACCGUUGGUGGGUUCAUUCUUGCAUUGGUCACGUCACGUCGGGAAGUUCCCUAAACCGGAGCAGCAGCCACCUUGCAUUCAUCAGUUCAUCAUCGUAUCAACAAGACAACAACGACCACGGAUGACGGAGCAGGCGGGAGGCGGGAGGCGUGGGCUUUCAUCGGGCCAGGCAGGAACUCCUUCCUCCCUGUCUCGUCAAGACAGCAAUAUUCUUUGGCGGGAGAACUUCCUAUAUGUUCUUCGAUGCCAUCCCUACGCUCCUUGCUCCUAAGUAACAACGAAUUUUCUGGAAAGUUCCCAUCCUUGAUCCAAAGCCUCUCCAAUCUAACUUUGCUUGAUCUUUCAUGGAACAAAUUCUAUGGGACAUUACCAAUAUGGAUCGGACAUUUGGCAAAGCUGCGAUUCCUGGAUCUGAGCCACAACAUGGUAUGUGGGGGUAUUCCAGUGAAUAUCACACAUCUUAGACAACUUCAACUCUUGAAUUUAUCAUUCAACAAUAUAUCAGGAUCAAUUCCUCAGUCAUUAUCAAAGCUAAUGGCAAUGACAAAAACGCAUAUUCCUACAGAUAAUGUACCUGAUUGGUACGUAGGUUCGGAAAAUAAUGAGUUGCAAGAUAUUUUGUCUGCUGUGACGAAGCAUCAACAACAAAAGUAUGGCGCACAAAGUAUUUUUUUCUAUUGUUGGCAUCGACUUGUCUGUCAAUCAUUUAAGUGGAGGAAUUCCAGAUGAAAUGGCUUCUCUUGACGGAUUGAGAUACUUAAAUUUGUCAAGGAAUUGCUUGAGAGGAAACAUUCCAAAGAAUAUUGGCGCUAUGGAAUUAGUGGAAUCAAUUGACUUCUCAUGGAACGAUCUUUCUGGUGAAAUCCCUGCAAGCUUGUCAGACUUGACAUUUUUAAGUGUCUUGGACUUGUCAUACAACAAUCUAUCAGGAAGAAUACCGUCUGGGCGUCAGCUUGAGACCGUCUACGACAGCAACCCAACUAUGUAUGAUGGGAAUAAUAAUCUCUGUGGACCCCCUCUUCAGAGAAAUUGCUCAUCAGGGAAUAGUGAUCCUAAGCAUGGUAAUGAAAAGGCAAGCGGAGAGAAUUCAGAAUCAUUGUUCUUUUACUUCGGACUUGUAUCAGGGUUCGCAGUUGGCCUCUGGGGGGUGCUGUGUGCUCUACUCUUCAAGAAGCCAUGAAGAACUGCUUUUAUCCAGUAGCAUAUUUAUUGUUGUGUAAUCAUACAUCAUCAUCUUAAUUUGAGGCCGGCACUCUGUUGGGGUUGGAUAUAUUAAUUGGAUUACGGAUCGCACCGUCCGAUUUUCACUCACGGCUUACAGAUCGUGCUCUCUUGCGAAACCAAGCAAGCAGUGGCAGGUGGGGCGAACUACUCUGCCAAGGUCCCUUCAGAUUUAAGGCGAGGGGGAAGAGCGGAUGAAGAGAGCGAGGCGUGCGUAGUAGGCUAGUAUUGCCAGUCAAUGUUGGUCAGCUUGCUGAACGGAAUUGCAUGUGGGAUCAGCGAGGUCGUACACCAUUAAUAACAUAGACGGCAUGCAUGGCUCGAAAGCCACGUCACCAGCAUUAUUUCUCGAACACGAAACCUAACCAUUAAUAAGGCUAGUAGGUUCAUGCAGAGUUUUAUCGCAUUAAAUUCGAUGCCGCAUCAUCAAUUUUGCUAACAAAACGAGAAGAGAGAAGGAAAGAGUUAUAGGGAAUGUGAGAGGAGUUUCGUCACUCUAAAACUCACGUGGCACAGUUAUCUAGUUCAGAGGCGGGGUCAGGAUUGGAAGACUGGGUAUACAAAAAUUCAAAAUCUAUAAAAACUUAACCGUAUCAACACUAUUUUUUAGCAAAAAUAUUCUUAAAUACCAUUGAUUUGUAAAAAUAAUAGGUAUUCAGUGAAUACCUUUAAAUACCCUGACCUGUUCCUGAUCCGAUUCCCAGUCUUAAUAAAUGUACCAUAAAACUGUACGCACUGGUAUAAUGAAGCAUGCAUAAUGUUUCUGCCGUCCUUGCUUGGUGGGUCCAUUCUUGCAUUGGUCACGUCAUGUCGGGAAGUUCCCUAAACCGGAGCAGCAGCCACCUUGGAUUCAUCAGUUCGUCGCGUAUCAACAAGACACCAAUGACCGCGGAUGAUGGAGCAGGCGGGAGGCGGCAGGCGUGGGCUUUCAUCGGGCCAGGCAGGAACUCCUUCCUCCCUGUAUCGUCAGGACAGCAACAUUAGUGCCGUAUCGGUUUGCUAACCUCGGGGGACCAGGCUCAAAUAAGCGCAACGCGGCCCACCCGUCGGGGUUGGAAGGAGGGAAACGGGCCUGAGCUUAACGCUGUUAAAAGCGCGAUUGCCCCGGGUUGGUUGGUGGACUAGGCGUGGGCUCCCUCUCGGCCCAUACCGAUGACGACAUCCGAAACUCUGGCCCCCUCCCACGCAGCUGGGCUCCUGAGAGGCAAGGCCGAUUUAUGCACGCCGGGAUUGCUGCGCUUAUUAAUGCACGAGUUUUUUUAAAAAAAAGGUUAAAAAAAUUAAAUUCGAAAAAGGGGUGCCGGUUUGGAAAAAUUCGAAAAAUGGAGACCUCCCGCCCAUCCAACAGGCGGGAGGUCGAAAAAUAUUUCCCAGGCCCGUCCAGGGGGCCUCUUUGCGAAAAAAAACUUUUCUUAUUCGCGAAGAGACCCCUGACGCGGCAUCCCGGAGGGGCAUCCAGGCCUCCCAACGGGCGGGAGGUUCCCCGGAGGGGCAUCCCGCCCUCCCAACGGGCGGACGUCCCCCCCCCCCCCCCACACACUAUUUAAGCCCCCCACCCACCCCUAAUUCUCAUAUUAUUCAGCAAAAAUCAACAAAAAAAGAAAGGGAGGAGAGGAAGAGAGGAGAGGAAUCGGCGAAGCUCUAUUCACACGUCGGUUUGGAGGUAUGUUCUCGUUCUAGUCGUAUAAUUAUCAAUUGUUUUUAGGAAUAUUUAUUAGGGUAGUUAUAUUUUGAAUAGUUUUCAGUAUUUUCAAUAGCUUUUACAAAUAUUUGUUAGGGUAGUUCUAUUUUAAAUAGUUUUUAGCAUUUUCAAUAGUUUUUAGGUAUAUUUCUUAGGGUAGUUAUAUUUUGAAUAGUUUUUAGGAAUAUUUCUUAGGUUAGUUAUAUUUUGAGGAGUUUUUAGUAUUUUCAAUAGUUUUUACGAAUAUUUCUUAGGGUAGUUAUAUUUUGAGGAGUUUUAGUAUUUCAAUAGUUGUUAGAAAUAUUUCUUAGGGUAGUUAUAUUUUGAAUAGUUUUUAGUAUUUUUGAUAGUUUUUAGAUAUAUUUCUUAGGGUAGUUAUAUUUUGAAUAGUUUGCAGUAUUUCAAUAGUUUUUAGAUAUAUUACUUAGGGUAGUUAUAUUUUGAAUAGUUUAGUAUUUUCAAUUGUUUGCAGGAAUAUGUCUUAGGGUACUUAUAUUUUUCAUGCAGAUAUGACGCAGACACCGGAGCUCCUUGAUGCGAACACCGACGAACGACACAGGUCGUACCUGGCAGCGGUGGAGGGGCAGCAGCUUCACGAGUUGCGCCCUCGUGUAGCAAAGGAGUUGUUGCACCUGGACGACCGCUGGCUUGACAGAUGAUACUUUGUAUUUUUUUACGGAACUAAUGUAUAGCUUGUACGACAAUUGUAACCACAAUGCAAAAUAUACAGAUUACGUGAGGCUGGUUUGCUGCCACUCGCACGUAUGCUUCAAGCCGGCGACGGCCAAGAUGGUGGCGUCAAGAAGCGGAUGCAGCUGGACCGCUCUCUACUUGCGGCGUUGGCGGACAGGUGGAGUCCGGAGACGCACACGUUCCACUUGCCGUGCAGGGAGAUGGCCCCCAUGUUGCAGUACGUGUCGUACCUGCUCGGGCUUCCCAUUGCGGGUGAAGCUGUUGGCCCAGUUGCCGUGCCACCUACCUGGAGGGCGGAGCUUCAGGAGCGGUUUGGUCCAGUGAACCCGCCACUUUUUGUGAACGUACCUGACGUGCUCGGCCCCGCCAAGAGUUGGGUAAUACAAUUUAGGGUAAGUACAAUUAUUUUUAAUUAAUUUAAUUGAAUCAUAUGUGACUAUCUCUAAGCAUUAAACAAAUAUAUUUCAGGCUCAGGAUCUCCACCCUCUGGCUGCGCAGUACGAGGUGUCGCGCUUCCUGGAGGCAUAUCUAUUGUGGUUGUUCGGCUGGACUCUUUUCUGCAACUCUAGCGGCAAAGGCGUACUGGUUGUCCUCCCUCUGCACACGUGACGAGACGUACUGACUCACAAAGGCGAACCUAGUAUUUGAUAUUAUCGUCGAACCAUACUGCGUCGAGCGAGUGAUGAGGCAGUUCAGGCGACGAUAACACUUUCCUCUCCUACCUCGAGCGUUCCAGGCUGUGCCGCACAAUGUACAUGAGUAAGUUUGUGAUAACUCAUUUUGUAUUAACUAUAUAAUCGUUAUCAUAAAAUAAUAUUGUCUUUCAAAUGUUUGCAACAGAUAUUCGCGCAGGGAGUAUCAUGCCAACGAGGUCAACUGGGUGGUCAAGCUGCAGGAGUACGUAGGAGGGUGGCUAGCCGCACCUGACAAUGUGUGGGACGAGCCGCAGCCACACACGGAGGCGUCUUACGGUGCAUACCUCCGCUGGUACCUCCCUCGCACACGUCCGUACAUCACUCUUUAACAUAUUGAUGACGCGGAGCUUCAGCACCAGCCGACCAUCUCGAACACGUAUCCCUCAUACCAUGAUCAGGCGCAGCGUGGCGCGGUACGUCUUUCGCAACUUGAAUUAUUAAAUCUUUUUUAUAAAAGAUCGAUAACAAUAUUACUCUGCUUCCCAUUACGUAUGCAGAUCGAUCUGUUCAACUGCGUGGAGGUCAAAGCUACAUCUCAGAUCACGUUGCUUGAACGUGGAGUACGUGUACCGGACGCACAGUACAAAGACAGCUUUCGUAAGAUUCAGGACAAUUUGACGCGAGCGUUACGUGCACUGACGUGUCGCAGCAGAGACGACGUGGGGGCCUACAAUUCAUCUCAUGCGUCCGCUCACGUGUACACAGCUGGCCCGUCGACUUCUACAGCACCGCACGCAGCAUCCAGCGAUACUGCCGCUAGUUCCAGCUGUAAGUCCUUUAUAAUUGCCAUUUCGAUCAACUUUGAUUUACACGACUAAUUUCGUUUGUUUUUAUAGUCAUGCACUCGACGGCAAUGGGACCUCCUCCUGCAAGAAUGGAGACUCAGACGUUUGGCGCCUAUGCUCCAGGAACGUCUCUCCGUCGGGUUCGACGCCAGCUGCUCCGUACUCUCAGGGCUAUACUCAGCAUGCAUGGUCGAUGGGAGCUUCUGCACACGGUGGUCUAUUCGGUGUGCUGGACUGGGACGACUGGGAGGGUGGCUCCGUCACUUGGUCGGAGUUGGUGGGCGGCGGCGCCGGGCCUGACAACAUUGGUCCCUCCCAGACGUACGACGCUCCAGGUGCACAGUCCCAGGAUGACCCGUUCACGCCAGCACCUCCUCCACCUCGUCCUCACCGUGCUCCAGAUGCAUUCAGGUACUCGGAGGACCACAUACGCCGACGGCUUAGGACUGAGGGGGGGGGGAGGACGAAGAGAGCGCGAGGUCCAGGAUGUCAGACCCGGGGCCACCGGGCUGGGCGCGUUACGAAGUUUAAGAGAUUAAGCCCGUCUCAUCUCUUAUUCGUUUUGUUUAUCUCUUGUUUAUCCCGUUUAAAUAGGAGAUAGAGCUAACCAACACAGAGAGGAUCUACUCGAGAUCAGUUCUGGUGUGAUCCCUCGGAGGGGGUUGGUUAGCAUCUUUGUAACUCUGACCUCUCGGAUAUAUAAGGGAGGUCAGGGACCCCCCUCAAAACAGAAGAUCAUUAGGUCAUUCUAUACAGAAGGCAAUACAAACCAUACAGGACGUAGGGUGUUACGCUCCGUGCGGCCCGAACCUGUCUAAGUCUUGUGUUCCUUGCACCUUCGAGUUCCUGAUCUCGGCGUCCCCUCACCCAAAACUUACCACCUCGGGUAUACCCCACGGUGGGCAGCCAGUUAAACACCGACAGCUGGCGCGCCAGGUAGGGGAGCGCGUCGAAGAUCCACCGGCGAGCUCGAUGGCAUCGUUCAGAUUCAUCAGGUCAGUUCCCUCUCAGGGUACGACGUUCGUUUUUGGUUCAUGGGUCUGCAUCGCAGAUGGUGCGGGCAGUUUCCGGCGAUUCCUCGUCGACAUGAAGCCAAAAACCUCCGCUGCGGAUCUCCGCAGCGACCUUGACAAGUUCGUCGACGGGCUCGACAACUUGCCGCUCCACGCUUCCGCAGCGCAGAUCGAGUUGGAGUCCGAUCCAGCUUCGACUUCUUCUGGUGUUGUGGCAACUACCCCUGGUUUGGAUUCGUUCCAAUCUAGGGACCAGCACAACCGAUAUCAACUCGGUUUGUGCGAUUUGGCCACUAACCUUCAGGAGGCCCACGACUCUGGGUCCUUCUCCAUGUUUGAGAAGGACCUGGACUUGUUAAUCUAGAUCGGAAAGCUUGAGGCCACCACGUGUCGGGGGGCUUCGGGUUGUUCCGGUACCGGUGAUCUGGUGGUCACCCCCCUGCCGGAGGGGCACGUGGUGUACUGGAGGGGCAUGACGCUCCCCAAACUACUCGAGGCAGAGGGCCGACUCGUGGCCCACCUCGAGCCCUUGCCUUUUCAAGAAGGCAGGCCGUUGGCCACCGAGGCUGAGGGGUCGACUGAACUAGUCGACGAAAGUUCUCAUGAGCUUUCCUCCCGCCAGGUGCUGAUGGCCGAAGAAGGCGAGGACGAUGGGGAUUUUCCCAUCGACAACUUUGAAGCGGUCUCCGAGGAUGAGAUCACAGCCAAUGUCGGCGACGAAAAUGACACCGAUCGUGAAGCGCGGAGGGCCAGAAACAGGGCCCGCACAAUCCGGCGGAGGAGGGCCAACGAGCGUAGGAGAUCUAUGCAUCGUGAGCUUGAUCCUGAGUUCGCCGCCGUUAGCGAACGGGGGUUUCGGACUCCGGUGGCCAACAUCGCCAGGGUUACGGCCAUCCUUGAGCGCAGCCAUGACCCGAAGGUACGUCAAGCACUCUUGUACGCGCAGAGGGCUUGGAUCCAGUUGGAUCAACACAACCCGGCGCUUACCAUCAGGGAGGAGCGCGUGGGCGACAGUCGAAGUCAGAACCACAGCCGAGCGGCUGGCGGCUGUCCUCGACGUCAACCCAGCAACGACAACGCUUGCGGGAGCCAGACCCCUGGCGGGAGGCAGCAGCCACCGCAAGGGGGUCAGCCACGACAAGCCCAUCAUCGACUCCCUCCGGAGGAUCUGCGCCAACACAUCAAUGAAGGCCGCGAUGCGCGCACCGUGAUUUCUUCCAGGCGCAAGACCCGUGAAGAAGUUGAGAAUGAAGGUACUGAUUGUAGCGAUCGAUUUCCUACUUUUUCUGCUCGUUUCAGCAGCUACAAGUACCCGGAGGGCUUCAAGCCGAUCGGUAUCACCAAGUACGACGGCAAGUAGGCUCCCCAGCAGUGGCUUCGUUGCUACUCCACGGCCAUUGACGUCGCGGGGGGCUCAAAUAUCACCAAAGUCGUCUACUUCCCGAUGGCUUUGGACCCUGCGCUGCUCACUUGGCUGGAGAGCCUCGGCAGCAACACAAUCGACUCCUGGGAACGGCUUAAGAAAGUCUUCAUCGACAAUUUCCAGGGAGCGAUCACUCGUGCAGGUACUCGACAUGAUCUUGCCCAGUGCAAGCAAGAACGCAACGAGCUCCUGCGAUCCUACACGCGUCGCUUCUUCGACGUCCGCGCCACUAUCGCGAACAUCUCGGAAGAAGACAUCAUCGACUGUUUCUACAACGGCAUCACCGACCCCAGCAUCUACAGGGAUUUCAAGCGGAACAGGCCAAAGACUGUUGCGGGCCUUCGUGACAUGAUGCACGAUUGGUCCGAACAAGAGGAGAAGAUGCGGGAGCGGUUCCCGCGGCGUCAAGAUAACAAUUUGCGGCGCCCAAACGACAACCGCAAUGACACAAGCCAGCGGGACUUUUCGGGUUCACUCCGAAAACGAAAGCCAGAUAAUGUUAUCGCGGCUAUCGAUCGUCCUUCGCGGGGCAAGAAGUCGACGACGCAGGAGGAGUUCGAGAAGUUCCUGCAGAAGAAGUGCCCAUGGCAUCCGGGCGCUAGCCAUGCCGCCAUUGACUGCUACCACCUUCGGAGGACGUUCAGUAACACCGGUGGUGGAAAGAAGAAUAAGAAGCCUGCCGACAAAGAACCCGAGGAUGACGAUCACGACGACCAGGGGCGUAAUCCGAAGUUUCAGGAUGCCUCGAAGGUCGUCAACGUUAUCUUCGGCGGUGAUGAGGAGUUCGAGGCCUACGUGGACGACGUGGUCAUCAAGACCAGGGAGUCCGAUAACUUGAUCACAGAUCUGGAAGAAACUUUUAGCAGUCUACGCAGAUAUCGGUGGAAACUCAAUCCCACCAAAUGCGUUUUUGGAGUACCUUCAGGGAAAUUGCUCGGGUUCAUUGUCAGCAACCGGGGCAUCGAAGCCAACCCUGUAAAGAUCACGGCCAUCACUGAUAUGGAGGCUCCGGCCACAGUCAAGGAUGUGCAGAAGCUGACAGGUUGUAUGGCGGCCUUGAACAGGUUCAUCUCCCGACUCGGGGAGAGAGGACUACCUUUCUUCAAGCUCCUAAAAUGCCAAGACAGAUUCCAAUGGACGGAGGAGGCCGAGCGGGCCCUACAAGACCUGAAAAUUCAUCUCCAGUCGCCUCCGAUCCUCACCGCUCCGCUACCGGAAGAGGACCUACUACUCUACAUUGCGGCAACAACCCAUGUUGUCAGCAGCACUAUUGUAGUCGAGCGAGGCGAAGAAGGCCAUGCGUUUGGAGUGCAGAGGCCCGUCUACUUCGUCAGCGAGGUCCUCUCCGAGUCAAAGGUACGGUACCCAGCAGUUCAAAAGCUCUUAUAUGCAAUUUUAAUCACAUCAAGGAAGUUGCGCCAUUACUUCGACGACUACAAGAUCACUGUGGUUACGAAUUUCCCGCUGGCGGAUAUUCUUCAUAAUCAAGACGCCACGGGACGCAUAUCUAAGUGGGCAGUAGAACUGGGGGCUCUGUCAAUCGACUUCAAGCCACGCACUGCAAUCAAGUCACAGGCUCUAGUCGACUUCAUGGCUGAAUGGAGGGAGAAUCAAGUCCCAACCCCAGUGGACAAGCCAGAGCACUGGACCAUGUACUUUGAUGGAUCCCUCAAGCUCGACGGCGGGGGUGCUGGUGUCUUGCUUAUCUCCCCACGAGGUGAGCAGUUGAAAUACGUCCUUCAGAUCCUGUGGGCGGUAUCCAAUAAUGAAGCCGAGUAUGAAGCCUUGCUUCACGGGCUUCGUUUGGCGAUAUCACUAGGGAUCAAGCGACUACUUGUAUAUGGCGACUCUCUUCUUGUUGUUCAGCAGGUCAAUAAGGAAUGGGACUGCAACAAGGAGACGAUGGAGGCAUACGUUCAGGAAGUGCGCAAGCUGGAAAGCAAGUUCUCCGGCUUGGAGGUCCACCAUGUGCUACGAGAACACAAUGUUGGUGCAGAUAUCCUGUCCAAACUGGGGUCAACACGCGCUCAAGUCCCACCGGGAGUCUUCGUCCAGGAGCUCGCUCAGCCAUCCAUCAAGCCUUCUCCGCCGGUAACCAUCGACUCGGGUCCCCAACAACCCGACCGAGAGGUUCUGAUGCUGGGGGAGGAUUGGCGAGCGGCCUUUAUCGACUUCAUUCAAGACCAACGGCUACCGGCGGGAAUUGACGCCAAGAGCGCAGAAGCGGCACGCAUCUCGCGAAGGAGCAAGGGCUUCGCCCUGGUCAAAGGCACGCUCUACAGGCGUGGCGCUCGGUCAGGAGUUCUCAUGAAGUGCGUCACGAAGGAGGACGGUUACAACAUACUGCGGGAGAUUCACGAAGGCGUCUGUGGCAACCAUGCGGCAUCAAGAACGCUGGUUGGGAAAGCGUACAGGGCUGGUUUCUGGUGGCCCACCGCAGUCACCGACGCGGAGGAUCUCGUGCGCAGGUGCCAAAAUUGUCAAUUCUUCGGCAAACAGACACAUGUUCCGGCCCAUAGCCUCAUCACUAUACCGCCAUCUUGGCCGUUUGCUUGUUGGAGUCUCGACAUGAUCGGGCCCUUCACGACGGCGCCAGGCGGUUUUACCCAUGUGCUGGUGGCUAUCGACAAGUUUACGAAGUGGAUCGAGUACAAGCCAAUCGCCAAGCUCACGCCAGAUCGGGUUGUUGAUUUCAUCUCAGAUAUCUUGCAUCGUUUCGGCUUCCCCAACACCAUCAUCACGGACUUGGGGUCAAAUUUCACGGCCAACCAGUUCUAGGAAUUCUACGAGAAUGCUUGCAUCGAAGUUAAGUAUGUCUCAGUUGCACACCCGCGGGCCAAUGGACAAGUCGAGUGGGCGAACGGCUUGAUAAUCGACGGCCUCAAGAAGCGGCUAUAUGACGAGAACAGCAAGAAGGGAGGCAAGUGGGUACACGAGCUGCCGCAUGUAGUCUGGGGGCUUCGGACUCAGCCGUCCAAAGCCACAGGCCAAACACCUUUCUUCCUUGUAUAUGGAUCCGAAGCCAUUUUACCAGCCGAUAUCAUGUGGAAGUCCCCGAGGGUCGAAAUGUACAAUGAAGGCGAGGCGGACGAGGCGCGGCAGUUAGAGCUCGACUCUGUGGAAGAAGCUCGUUGCACCGCUCUUGUCCAGUCAGCCCGGUACCUACAGGGGAUCCGCCGAUACCAUGAUCGCAACGUCAAGGAGCGGUCAUUCAGUGUUGGCGACUUGGUCUUGCGUCGUAUCCAGGACGAAUCUGGCCUACACAAGCUCAACUCAAGGUGGGAGGGCCCGUUCGUCGUCAAGCAGGUCACACGGCCAGGGUCGUAUCGACUACAGUGCCCCGAAGGCCAGGACAUCCCAAAUUCCUGGAACGUCCAACACCUGCGCAAGUUCUACCCAUAAGCAAAUGCCCGGUGAUAUCCGAAUUCCCCGGGGGCUUGAAGAUCUCCUUUCCUCGAUUCAUAUUGGAGGCUUCGAGCCACAAUAUUCGGAUUGAACACCCCUUCUCCGGCGACAACAGCCACGGCCACGGGCGAAACUCUCGUGUAAGCUGGCUACUCGUCGUGAAUAAAGUUAUGACUACAUUCACAACUUAUCGACUUCAUUUUUUGUCGAACCACCCGCUCCGGCUACAACUCCUCGAUAUAUCGAGUUCCGCCACGACCUUAGGUGGUCGCACGCGACUGAAGUCGCACUUUGUCCAACUCAGUUGAUCCGCUCGACUGGCUAAAAAACAGCGCGUUGGAAAGGCUCGCAUAAAGAGCCACCUCGACUACAUCAUGAGUGGCUGCACUCAGAACAGUCAUUUUCUUUUUGCCAAAAGAAUGGCCAAAAUGCGGCAAGAACCGCACCUGCUCCUAGCAAGCUCGAUCCGUCCGCCCGGGUCUCACUCAGCUUACGGAGCACGCUCACAAACACGAGCGAUCUUCGACUACAAUCAGAGUCGCCGCACUCGAGCUAGUCCUAACUUUUCGCCCUACGCACAGCGACCCCGCGACGAUGCUCGCGUUCUUCCCUAACAAGUCUAGACCCGCUCGAUCGAGUUGCGGCUACUCUGUUAGACGAUUUCUAGCUGCCCUUCGGGUCGUUGCACCCAAGGACGCGUCUCUACUCGAGUCUCGUGAGCCUGGAUCCCAAUUCAGCUAAGACAUGCAAACAAGUAGAGAUGUCAAGGGAAGCAUUUACAUAAGAGAAUGAUUAAGUGUUUUAUACACCCUAAUCCUGCAGUACAUUGUGUACAAUCUGUUCUGCUACGGGUUGGGCCUCUUGCAGGUACUCCUCGAACCGCUCGUCCGAGCAGUCCGCCGCCAUCCCUUGCGCGAAGAUGCUCAGCUGCGCAGUCGGCACGAAGGACUUGACGUAUGCAAGGGCGUUGCUUACGCAAGCAACAGGAGCUUCGGAUAAGUACUUGAGCAUUUUCUUUGGGGCCUCACGAAGCCGUCCCAGCAGAGGCCGCGGGCCGGCCUCGCCUUCUUCUGGCGGGUCCACCAUGUCCACCAGUUCCUGGGCGGCUCCCUGGAGGUCCUCCAGCUCCUUGCGCCGCUGCUCGUCCCUCUCGCCCAACGCUUUGACUUGCUGAAGACAGUCGACGAACUGACGUUCAGUGUCGUCGAUCACCUUCUGCAGCCUUUCGACUUCAUCUGUACGACGAUACAGCAUAUUCUUCACGUCAGUAAGCAGCUCCUCUUUGUGUUUUAUUACUUUCCUAAGCUCUGUGGUAAAGUUGUUUCAGCAAGCAAGUGAAAUCGCUAAGGAAAAAGUACUCGAGGGAAGCGGGGGCCUACCUUGGUGCGCCUUCUUUUCUGCCUUGAGCUGCUCCUGGUACUCUGCUUGUUGCUCCUUGACCCGUUGUUGGAGCUCGGAGUUGGCCUUUUCAAGGUUCUUCAGGUCAUUCUUGAGCAGCCAGGUCUCUCGAGUCCUUUCCUGCUUCAGCAUGUCAAGCUCGCGCUGCAGAUAGCAGUUCUUCGUCUUCUCCUCGGAGAUGCGCUUGUGCAGGGCACCUAACUCCCGCGCGUCACUCACAACCGCGCGGAGUUUCUCCGACUUCUUCUGGGAUUUCGUAAUCACAUGCUGCACCAAAGGAGGAGAAUGAGUACUUAACAACUCACCAAUGCACGCACCCGGAACUUCACGCGAGCACUACCAUGGAGAAGUCGUAUAACUCCUUGAAGGUGCUCUUGAAGGUCUUCAGGUUCUCGGCCGUUAGCAGACGAUCAUCCACCAGGUCGGUGGUGAUGAUGUUCUGGUACCCGGGCCCGGUCCUCAGCACCUCACGGGGACUCUCCGAGGGCCCGGCGGCAUCCCCGGACGGCGGCGGCUGGACACCUGCAAGCAUACGAAGUAGUCACCACAUUGUCCCCGGACCCCGGCAUCAAGCCGCAGGCGGGUAAGCGCGUACCUGUACCACUGGUAGGAGCGGCAUCAGGGGCCACGACUUGUUCCUUGCCACUGGGCCCGGCUCCCUCUUGCCAGGACCUGGGAGGCGGCAAGUUGGGGAGCCCCGCAUCCGCUUCCGGGGCCGCGACUUGUUCAUCGCCACCGGGUCCGGCUCCUUCUUGUCGGGACUCGGGAGGCGGCAAGUCGAGGAGCCCCGCAUCUGCUUCAGGGGUCACCUCUGCGGGUACAGGCCCCCCAGGCGCCGAGGGCUCGGGGGCUGCUGCAGCUGAGGCAGGCGCCGCAGCCCUGCCCGGUUCCAGCUGGAGUUGCACCGCACUUGCAGCCCUGGCGACAUCGACAACAUGGUUAUCCACGCAGGAGCGGCCAAGCUUUUCAAGCGAUUGAAGCAAAACUUACAGUGUCGACUUCUUCUUGGCAGCCUUCUUCACCCGCCAGGCGCGACGGGGGACACCCGUCGCGGAUGGCGGGGUCUGGUCGGCCGGCGGAGGGGUCCCCGCCACGGCGAUUGUCACCGUCGUGGCGGCAGAAGGGCCCGCCUCCACUCCUUCGGGCUCAGUCCCGGGCGGCGGAGCAGGGAGGCUGCAAGGGGACGCUGUCAGCACUCAGCACCAUGGAAACUUUGGACUUGGCCAAAACAGCAAUUCCGUACCUGGAGGACUCAACUUCUUGAGCCUUGCGUUUGCGCACCUGGCGCUGGCCCUUCGGCACCGGUGGCAGAGCGCCGGUCAACUCCACGCUCUGAUCGGAGGAGUUGUCCCCGCGCAGCUCCCCCACGGUCUCCUCGCUCGCCUGCGAGCCCACGCACCCGGUGGACUCGCUGCUGCCUUGAAGCGCAGCAUGACGAGCCGCCUUGGUGGCAACGGCGGCAACAGGGCACGGACCUCCCUCGGCUUCUUCCCCCGCUGGCAAGACCACGCGUUCGGCGGCAUCGUUGCGGCUCUGGAUCGCAGCAAGGCGAGCCUUCUUGGCCGCCGUGGCUGCAGAGGGAAGGAGGUGAUACGCUCAGGGGAGGUCCGGCUGCGGCGGGUAGCUGCAGUACAGUUCCGAAUGUCCCUGCAGAAAGUCCCUCAGUUCAGUACCGGCGCAGUAGUCGAUUUCUUCGGCAAAAGGAGUCGAGCACUUACCGGCGGGGGCAGAUGUUGCGCGGAGUACAGGGUGGGCACGUACGGCACGGUGUUCACGUCCAGCAGCACCCGUUGAACCCGCUGGAGCGCGACUUCAUCUGGCACCUCCUCUGUGCACAUGCGAGAAGGGUCAGCAGAGCCGGUGUACUCGAAGCCUAGGCAACAUCUCUGCUGGAUGGGUUGGACGCGGCGCUUGUAAAAGGAGAACAUGACGGAGGCGCCGGUCACCCCCUCCUUCUUCAGCGCGUCGAUGGCCUCCAGCAGCUCCUUGACUUGAAUCAUUUCCAUGCUGGAGGGUUCAAGGAUCCAUUCCCCCCUCACCACGGGCGGUUUGCUCGACUUCGUCGGCAGGGGGGGAGCAUGGUUUUCGAUGUAAAACCAGAGGUUCUUCCACCCAGGGAGGUUGGAGGGAAAUCUAUAUGCAAGGUAUUUUUCGCCGGACUGCUGUCGCAGUUGGAUGCCGGCGCCCCCUACCACAGCGAGUUUUUUCGUGGUUGGCUGGGGUUUCACGCGGAAGAGGAAGCGAAAUAGAUCCCAGUGGGGUUCAAUUCCGAGAAAUGCUUCGCAAAAGUGGAUGAAAAUGGAGAUGUGGCAGAUGGAAUUCGGGUUGAGGUGAUGGAGCUCAAGCCCGUAGUAGUAAAGAAGGCCGCGGAAGAAAGAACAAGUGGGGAGGGCCAAUCCCCGUUCGGCAAAAUGGUAGAAUGUGACGAUUUCGUCGACAUUCUCCAUGGGGAAAGGUUCACGGAAAGAGGGGCGCUAGUUGACGAGAUUUUUCUCUUGCAGCAACCCCUCGGAAACAAGUUUUUUCAGAUUGUUGAGGGAGCACUUACUGUGUGUCCACUCCGCGGUUGUUGGUUCCGCAUCCUUCUUCAUUCCCUCGAUCUCUGACUUCUUGGACGUCAUCUCCAAUGCGCCGGCCAUGAGAUGCUCGGGGGCUGCGGGGAGAGGGGCGGGGAGGUCGGGGUGGGAGUUCUUCUUGGGGGAAGGCGGCGGCGCUUGGUUUGGAUUGGGGAAUUUGGUGGCUCUUGAUGGAAUGCAGAUUGAAAGCGUGGUUUUUCCCUCUAGUUAUCGCAGGGUUAAAUAACCAGCGGAGUGGGGGAAAGUUACUGUUUUGAAGAUCAAGAGUCGUUUCGUGGACUAUUCCGAAGAUGAGGGGUCAUUUGGUGAUCUGAUUAGAUUGCAUAUUUGAUUAAUCAUUUUUUCAGGGCUAAUUAGCCCGAAAAAAGGGGUUUUUCGAAUCUUUGGUCUAAUUACAUCAUUUGUACCAUCGCUUCGUUCUUUUCUUAACGUGCCAUUGUUUCGCCUGUAUGCCACGAUUUUUGGACCCUUAUCUCCAACUUUGUGGGAUUUGGAUUCAAGGCUCAGGGGCUGCGGGGUACGUGGCAUCGACUACUUAUUUUUCAAAUUUCUUUGACGGGUAAGGAAGACUACUGACAAGUGGGACCCUCAGCCUGAUUCUCCGAUUCAACCUAAGGCUCGGGGGCUACUCCAUAUGGAGUGCGAUUUUGCAAUCGCACGCCAUAUCAGAAAUAAAAUUCGGGGCAUGAGCACCUCAUAGCUUCGAUGCAGCCAAGCAAGUACUCGAAGAAGGACUUCAAGACGAAUCAUCAGAAAGAAGUCGAAGACUGCUUCGAAAGUACUCGAUAAGCCUGCAAUACUCAGCUACGAAGAGCUCGGGGGCUUGUCAGACCCGGGGCCACCGGGCUGGGCGCGUUACGAAGUUUAAGAGAUUAAGCCCGUCUCAUCUCUUAUUCGUUUUGUUUAUCUCUUGUUUAUCCCGUUUAAAUAGGAGAUAGAGCUAACCAACACAGAGAGGAUCUACUCGAGAUCAGUUCUGGUGUGAUCCCUCGGAGGGGGUUGGUUAGCAUCUUUGUAACUCUGACCUCUCGGAUAUAUAAGGGAGGUCAGGGACCCCCCUCAAAACAGAAGAUCAUUAGGUCAUUCUAUACAGAAGGCAAUACAAACCAUACAGGACGUAGGGUGUUACGCUCCGUGCGGCCCGAACCUGUCUAAGUCUUGUGUUCCUUGCACCUUCGAGUUCCUGAUCUCGGCGUCCCCUCACCCAAAACUUACCACCUCGGGUAUACCCCACGGUGGGCAGCCGGUUAAACACCGACACAGGACAGGCGGGGUAGAUACUUCUGAUUUGGUGGACUUUUUAUAUUUAAACUGUUUUUGUAUGAUACUAUUUUAUUUUUAAUGGAUUGAUGUAAUGUACUAUCAUAAUAUUUGGAUUCUACGUUGCAAAACGUUAUCGUUUAACCAUCUUCAUACGAGUUUUAGAUACAGUAAUCUUCUUCGUAAAAUUGAAUUAAAAUUUUAUAAGCAUUCAAAAGAGUAUGGUGAAUAAAUAUUGUAUUUGAAAAAAGUAUGAAUUUAAAAUAGUAUGUAAAACAAGAAUUCGAACAGAUAAGAAAUUCAGAAAAUGGCAACUUCCCGUUGGGUGGCCGGGAUGCCUCAGGGGCCUCUUCGUGAAUAAGAAACUUUUCUUAUUUGCGAAUAGGCCCUCAGGAGGCCCUCGGGAGGGGCCUGGAAAGAAUUCUCGGACCUCCCGCCUAUUGGAUGGGCUGGAGGUCGCCUCCCGCCCAUUGAUCGGGCGGGAGGCACCCAUUUUUCAAAAUUUUUCAAUACAGUACCCCUUUUUCAAAUUUAAUUUUUUAUCCCUUUCUUAAAAAAAAGUUAUUAAUGCAUGGCGACUGUUAACACAUCGCCUCCCGGCAAACAAUGUACAAAAUGGGCUUUGCCUCGGGAGAAGGCCUCCGUGUACCCUGGAGUCUGCUUCUUCUUCUCGUGGGGCAGCGUUGGGCUCGACCCAGCCCUCCUUCCAGCUCCACCCCCAACCCUUUUUGUUUUUUUUUCUUCUGCGCUUGUAACACGUCAGGCCAAAUGGCCACAGUGCAGACAACAAGAGAUAAAGAUCUUCCACAGUAAAGCAAGAAAACAAACCUUGCAAGUGCAAGUUGUCCUCCACAUGAGCGCACUCGUAUGGUAGUAAAAGUGUUGGCGGAGCAACACCUCUAGCUCUUUCUCUAAAGAUGAAAAGAAACAGAGCGCAUUCAUUGCUGAAUUGCUAUGAAUACAAGCGCGCGUUCAGUGGUAAUGCACGUUCCCGCGCACUGAGGGUAAUAGUGUCUCCAAUCUUUUCUCUACCAUGUGUAUGAACGGUGUGAGUGUUGUGUACGUCCUUGUAUGUACCCUUAAAAAGAUCCCCAAACAAUCUCAGAAACCUCUUUGCGGGGUGAUGCCAAAAGAGGAGUACGAGAUGCCCUUUUGAUCUCUCCGAACACCUGGUGGACGUGUGUGCAAAAACCAAGCCUAGCUAAGAUGCAGCGGCCGAACACAGUUGGGCGUGAGAUCACGAUGCAGACGGCGGACGGGCGGAGGGAUAGUUCCACGGCCAUCCCCAUCUCCAUUUUCCGGCGAAGGGGACGGAGCAACUUGCGGGAGGCCAUACAUGUGUGACUCCAUGAGGCUUACAGAUUUUAGAUCACUGGCAUCCCGGUUGCUCUACGAUCUAGUCGCUAUCGUCUUCGCAAAUCUCUGCUGGAUUGAAACCGGGUCAAUGUCGACGAUCGAGAGAGAGAUGGCCGUAGCUCGCAUCGCAAUCUCGUGAAAAGCAAGAGACCUUUGCGACGGCGCUGCCUUUUGUCCGCCACGCUAAUCCAACAAAGCAACUCCACGUAAAAGCCAUUCUAAAGCUUGACGACGGUAGGUAACGACCAUACACACUCAAGAAACAGAUAUGCAAAAAAAAAUGUGCUACCUCUGUUCUAAAAUAUAAUAACUUUUUAACCAUCUCUAUCACAAAAUAUAAAAACUUUUUAACCAAGUUAAAGUUAAAUAUUUUCAUCUUUAACCAAUAAUAUCUAAAAAAUAAUUACUUUUAAAUAGAAAAGGUUAUAUAUUGGUUUCAUUAUGAACAAACUAAUAUCACUUUUAUAUCAUCGAUGUUUAUAUUUUUUUUACCAUCUACGGUCAAAGUUUGAAAGGUUUGGUUUGAACAAACCUAAAAAUAGCUAUAUUUUGAGACAGAGGUUGUGGGAAGAAAAAAAUCAGUUGGCACUAAAAUCAUGGAUAACAGGAUAGGAAGUGAGCAUAGCUCAGUUACAAAUGUGACAGUAGUAAUAUCUGAACCGCCAAAGUUCAAUUCCUCCACACCUCAAUUUUAAGUGCCUAUUUCUUCUCUCUAAUCUCAUUUUCAGCGGUGAAUUAAAUCACCACCUAGUUCCUUCAAGAUUGGAUUUCGAGCGGCAGCAGGACAAGAAAAUGACAAAGUAAAAUUGCUGUAUCCAGCCUUCCAGAAGCAGAGCAACAAGCCCAGAGGGGCAAGUGAAGGAUGCAGUAGUGGUCAACCAUAGUUGAGCUUCAGAUCAUGCAUGACACGGACGCUGGAUGUUCCUUUGCCGCGGCCGUCUCCAAUGGCGACGACGGGGAGCAACUUGUAACGUUGCAGCCUAACUUUAUUAGUAGCGUCCCUGUUGCUUGCAACUGCAGAGCUGCAAUGCAGUCGCUUUCGCCUUCAGAAAUCUCCACUGGAUUUAUUUAAGCCGGGUCAAGGUCCACGAGAAAGAUAGCGGUUGCUUGCAUCGCAAUCUGACUGGAAUUGGCGGGAAGCUGCAGGCGAGGAAAAUGAUAGGUGAUUAAUUAUUAAUCAAGUUACCUGCCUGCUUCCUUCCUCACAUCUUCACGCCGUCUUCGCAUACAGGUCGUGCUUGGUUACCGGCCACCACUCGCCACGCACGUGUUGCGUAGCGAAUUGUGGCCGGUAACCAGGCCCAUAUUUCCCUGAUUAACCAGUGGUGAGAUUCUCUCCAAUAGCACAACUACAUUAAGUUGGCCUUGAGAUCUCUUCUACGUUUUCCUUUUUUGAUCAUCCUUUUGUUUCUGUCAUAACUUUUUAUGGUGAUGAUGUUGUGAUCACAUCUAAUAUAUAUGGGUGAUAAAUCAAUCUACUUUCCCCAUAGAUAUACACACACAAAACAAAAUGAUUAAAGCGCACUUUUUGUCAUAACUUUUUAGAUAAGAAAAUGCAGCAUAUUAGUUCCUUUUCAGAGCUGAGAUGCUGCAUUUUUGCUCUUUUUCAGAUAGCCACUGAUGAGCACGUGCUAUUGCCCAAGGCAUGAGAAUCAAAUGCCCCCUUAAUUUUCGAGGAGAUGCGAGAACAAAUGGGGAGGGCCCCCCCAUGUCCCAUAUCAUGAGAUCGAGACUAAGAAACCCCGCCCAUCCAAUCCAACAGCCACCAGAGCAUCAAGAUUAGUUUGACCGGGCUCAGCAAUUCCAGCCAGCCUUUUCCCCCACGAUUCCACAUACUCUAUGCACGCCGCCUUGUCCUGCUUCGCUAGCUGCUUCCGGUCGCCGACAAUGUAUUCCCCAAAGAAAACGAGAAGAAAACAGUGCCACUGCUGGUAUCCGUCGUCAGGAAACUUCAAAUGAAAAAUCGAGGCAACGACCGGGUCCUAGUUUAUUUUCCGCUCCUGAUCCGCGUCCACGUUGUAGACUUGUAGCAUGUACGUACAAGCUGUCCUCGAGAGACAGAGUGAGAAAAGGAAAGAAAAUGCUUCUGCUAUAUGGAAGUGGAUAGAGGAAUCUUCGUCGCAGCCGUGAACAUGCCCCUGCUUGUCCGAACCACCACCCGGCAUUCCGCCUGUUUCCAACCCCAACCGCUCCUGCCUUGGACGAACACAGCAGCUUGCCAUGCAGGUCGUUGCAUGCCCAUCUCCCAUCUCCCAAGUCCAAACUGGCAGGUGAAAUCGACCCAGCCUCCUUUCCUUCCCAUGAGCUCGGCAGAAAUAGGGGCACGUUGUUGACCACCUAAAUGUCUAAAUUCGUUUUUCAGAAAAAAAAGUCACAAAGCACACCUUUUGUUGUGCUCAUAGUGAGUAUAAUUUACUUGUUAACUAGGAGUGGAUUAUCCUCAAGAGGGCACAUCAUCUAGCCUUUGAUUUCUUUUUUAAAUCUGAUUUGUUCGAAAGUUCUUGCGGUGGUGGGAGCAUAUCCCAUAUGAGUACGCGAUUAUUUCCGUGAAAUUUGCGUGACAUGAAUACAGAGGGAGUACUACUUUUGUCCAAACGCACCUAAAUGAGAAAGAAAAAAAUCCUAGUGGAACGCUCAACGGGUCUUGCAUGUAAUGUGCUUUUCUUCAAACAAAUUGAAAUCACGUAUAUUGUCGUUUGUUUCAGCUAGCGCGCGAGUGCCAAAUAGAAACAGAAUUUUCAUCAGUACCAUUUUAUGUUCUACUGAAUUGGGGUUUGGGCGAGCUUACAAUGGCGAAGCUAUAUAGUAUCCAGGGGGGCACAUGCACCCACACAAAAAAUGCAAAAUAAAUGACUAGGAGUAAAUUUUCACCAUGUAUAAUGAUCAAAUCUAGUUUUUUUAAAAAAAAUUAUCCCACGUACUCUUUAGUCAAUGAAGUUAACUAGAAUGUUUGGAUCGCAUCAGAAACUUAAGAGCACACAAAGUUAAGUUCAGACCUUCUAGCACUCUAAUGGCAGAUACAGCUUAGCUCAUUGCAAGGUAUUACAUACACACCAUCACUCCGCCACCAAGUUCUUGCUACUUAUCGUGGCCGCCACCUCGAGCUUCUUGUUGGUGGUGUCGCAUGGAUUGUCGCGGCAGCUCCAGCGGAACGCGAGCUGCUUGCCGCAUGAGAGGGAAGCGUUGCUCCCUUCAAGGAAAACAUCACCCGCGACCCUGAUGGCACCCUCAAGUCGUGGCGGCGAGGGCGGAAUGACGGCUGCCGGUUGAUGGCAUCCUCAUGCGGGCCUUCUUCCAUUUUCGGAAUAUUUUUUAAAAAAUUUUGGAUACCUGACGCUUUAGUAAUGGUUAGUGUUUAUCAACCGAAUAUUAAAGGUACUUUUAGUACAAGAUCAUAUGACCGGUACUAAUGAUUGGUCUUACACUUUUAAGUAAUUUUGAAUAAACUUCUUUGCGGUUAGUACGUCUAAAUUUAUUGUGAAAAUAGCUGAAAAUUGUGUGACAUGAAUGCAUGAGGGAGUACUACUUUGGUCCAAACGCAGCUAAAUGAAAAAGAAAAAAAAAGCACAACAGACCUUGCUCUAGUUUCGUCACUCUGAGCAUACAAAUCUUUAUGAUCCAAAUGUAGUACCUAGGUAUGUGGUCAUGGGACAAGGUCUACCGAUCGAUCAAAUCUCCAACAAGCGCUCAUAGCUGGUACUUGUUGUGAUCGUUUGUAAAAAUUUGUUUAAUAAAACUUGUCCUCCAUGCAUAUGUGUGAAGGAAAAAACGUUGUGAACAUGGUCUGUCUGUCCAAACCCGGCAUUCCGCGCCUGUUUCCAACCCCAACCGGUCCUGCCUUGGACGAAACACAACAGCUUGCCAGGCAGGUCGUUGCGCAGGGGGACCAAGAUCAGACCGUGCCCAGAUCCCAUCUCCCAAGUCCAAACUGGCAGGUGAAAUCGACCCGGCCUCCUUCCCUUCCCUUCCCAUGAGCUCGCGAAUUAAUCUCUAUUUAUGCAAUUAGUUUUAUAUUAAUCUAUAUUUAAUAUUUUUAAUUAGUAUCUAGACAUCCGAUACGACAGAGACUAAAGUUUAAUCAAAAGUAUCUAAAUAGCUCCUAAGCCGGACGCCGAGGCAUUUCCGGUGGUUAAAGAAAUCCGUCCAAGCAAGAGACUCGCCUUAAUAGCAGUGACUAUAUGAUUUCCUUUUCUUCUCUACUGGUUAAUCGUUAAAGUAGUAGAGUGUUGUUGACCACGCCAAUAUCUAAAAGCACACAAUUUUUAUGCUAUAGUGAGAAUAAUUUACUUGGUUAAUUAGGGGUGGAUUAUCCUCAAGAGAGCACAGCAUCUAGCCUUUGAUUUAUCUUUUGAAUGUGAUUUGUUCGAAACUUUUUGUGGUGAUGGGAGCAUAUGAUACCCCAUUUGAGUAUGCCAUUAUUUUCGUUUCUUUUGUGAAAGGAUAUGUAGCUUUUUACUCUCAUCAAGAUAGGCAAAAUCAGCGAAAGGAUACAGUACGUCAGUACUGCCAAUACCAAAAAUAGCGGUACUACGAUAUUCCCAACUGAGCUCCUUUUUGGCAUAUAUAGAUAUAGUAGCUGCUGCUGCUACUGCUCGAGCAUAAGAAUCAGACGGUCCCUUUUUCCAGGUGACGCGAUAGCAAAUGGGGAGCGACCGAGCGAGGGCCCUCCCAUGCAAGGACGGGGUGUCAGAUUGAGAAAUCCACGGCCAAUCCAGCGACCACCGAUCAUCGCACGUUUGGUUUGGAAGGCUAAACUUUAAUCUCAUCGUAUAAAAAAAUCUUACUAUUUAGAAGUAUUAAAUAAAAUUUGUUUAAUUUUUUCACACAUGAGUGCUAAUUCGCGAGAUGAAUUUAAUAAACCUAAUUAAUCUAUGAUUUGCAACAGUGAUGCUACAUUAACCAUCCGCUAAUUAUUGAUUAAUAUACUUAUCAGAUUCAUCUCGCGAAUUAGCCUGGAGAUUCUGCAAUUAUUUUUAUAAUUAGAUUUUAUUUAAUACUCCUAAAUAAUAAUAUUUUUUUGAUGUGAAAGGGCUAAAGGUUAGCCUCGGGAACCAAACACCCUCUUCUUAGGGAGUGGAACAUCCCUAUGAUUAAAAGUUUUGUCGCGGCAGCUCCAGCGGAACGCGAGCUGCUUGCCGCAUGAGAGGGAAGCGUUGCUCCCUUCAAGGAAAACAUCAUCCGCGACUCUAAUGGCAUCCUCAUGUCCCAUGCUGCAACUUUCACUGGAUAUUUCCUUUCAAAAAAAAUUCACUGGCUACAGUGACCAGCAGGACAACGGUUCCAAGCUUCUCAGUACAGAAUCAUUGUUGCGGUAUACUGUCCUUUCUCCGUACUGUAUCCAGCUGAAAUGCUUCCAAAAUUCUAUUGUGACUUGUAUUUUUCCGAAUUUUCCUUAGUGGGUUAACGUUUUGUUGCCCAUUUGACACUCUUUUGCUAGAAUUUCAUAAGGAAGCCAAUUACUUGACGUGUAGUGCGUUGUUGUAACCCACAAGCUCUUGUAUUUACCAUCCUUUACCACCUCUAGUUACAUUGUUGUAUGUGUGAUUAUUCAGUUUUAUGUGGACCAUACAUGGCAUUCCAGAACUUGUGGUCACUAGUCUUUAUUUGAAUAUUCAACCACGUGGUCAACUUGUGGUGACAACUACACUACCAAGUAAUUUUCAUUUGCCGUGUCAUAUAAUCUCGAUUAGUGCCAUUUUAUAGUCUACUAAAUAGGUUUGGGCGAGCUCACAUGCACCCACACCAAAAUGCAAAAUCAACAAGCAAAUUUUCACCAUGUAUAAUGAUCAAAUUCUCCUAAAAAAUGUAUAACGAUCAAAUUCAUAAACCCACAAGGCAAGCGCACCCUUCUAAUUUGCUCUAACUUCACCAUUUGCAGGGUUACAAAUAUUUAUGAUCCAAAAGUAGUACCAUACGUCUGUGGUCAUGAGAUCAAGGUCUACCGGUCCAAUCUCCUACAAACAUUUAUAGAUGUGAGGAUAACUGACUGCGUGAAGAUCCCAGUUAUGAUUAUUUAUAAAAAAAAGUAUUUAACAAAACUUAUCUUCUCCGCGUAUGUGUGAUGGAAAAAGGCUGUCUAAUUGGAACCCCAUUUUCCUUGUGUUUACCAGCCAGUCAUGCUAGGUGUUACGUCGUUGUUAGUUGUUACUCGGUUUAUGUGGACCGCAACGUCUUAUUCCACAACUUUAUGUGGUCACCAGCCUUUGAAAAUUCUCCCACAUGCUCUUCUGUCAAUGAAGUUAGUAGAUCUUUGGAUCGCAGCAGGAAUUUAAGAGCACACACAGCUCAGACCUUAGCACUCUACUAGCAGAUAGCUUUGCUCAUUGCCAGGUACUGCGCACAGACCACACCACUUGCUAUGCAUCCCUCCGCUGCCAAGUUCUUGCUUCUUCUCGUGGCCGCCGCCUCGAGCUUCUUGUCGGUGGCAUCGCAUGGACUGCCGCCGCGGCAGCUCAAGCGGAACGCGAGCUGCUUGCCGCACGAGAGGGACGCGUUGCUGGCCUUCAAGGAAAACAUCACCGGCGACCUGAAGGCAUCCUCUCGUCGUGGCGACGAGGCGGAAGGGCUGCUGCCGGUGGAUGGGCGUCACCUGCAGCAACCAAACCGGCCAUGUCCUCCAGCUUGAUCUAAGCAUGGAAAUUUGGCAGGCCAGAUAAGUCCUUCCUUACUGUCUCUAGAGCAUCUGGAGCACUUGGAUUUAGGCGGCACACUUAUCUGGUCAUGAUGGUCGUUUUCCCGAAUUCCUGUGUUCUUUCAAAAACUUGCGAUAUCUCGCCUCUCGUUGUUGUCGUUUGCGAGCAGACUGCCUGCUCAACUUGGCAACCUUUCCACACUGGAAUACCUUGUCCUCACGCAUACUUUGCCGAGUGAGGUGCCGCCUCAGCUCGGUAACCUCUCAAACCUGCGAUGUCUUGUCUCGCUUCUAAUAUUUGUACACAACCGAUAUCUCAUGGUUAGUUCGUCUUCAUCAGCUUGAGUAUCUUGAUAUGGCUAGCAUAAAUCUAAGUACAAUAGAUAAUUGGCUUCAUGUGGUAAACAUGAUUCCAUCUCUGAAGUUUCUCUCCCUUUCGACUGCUCCCUUCCCAGAGCAAACCAAUCGCUCACUCACAUAAACCUCACAAAACUUGAGAUGCUUGAUUUAUCCUGAACUACUUUAGGCACCCAAUUGCAUCCAGUUGGUUUUGGAACAUAACAAGCAUUCAAUACCUCGAGCUAAGUUCAACCUAUCUUUACGGUCCUUUCCCUGAUGCACUAGGACGAAUGACGUCCCUCUCUUACCUGGGAUUUGAAAAUGGAAACUCAGCCACGAUGGCAGUAGACUUGAAAAAUCUAUGUGAAUUGUGUAUCUGUGGCUCGAUGGGAGCCUAUCAUCUGGGAACAUAACAGAGUUCAUAGAGAAGUUGCCACAAUGUUCUUCUAGAAAAUUAGACUACCUAAGUUUGAAUGACAAUAAUAUGACAGGAAUAAUGCCACAGGUAAUGGGCACUUAACCAGCUUAACUUCUUAGCCUAUGUAACAACAACAUUAGUGGAUCUAUAUCACCAGGGCUACAGAAUUUCACUAGUUUGGAGGAAUUAUUUCUCAGUUCCAACAACCUUAGUGGCCAGAUACCAUUACUGCCAAGAGGCCUCGAAAUAUUGGUUGUCUCCAUGAACUUCUUGUCUGGGCAUUUUCACUUCGGAGCUCCAAAUAUUGGAGUACUAAUUCUAUCCUCUAAUAAAAUUACUGGUCCUAUUCCUAAAAAGUUUUGUGAGUUGCAAUAUCUACGUCACUUGGAUUUGUCAAACAAUUCUUUCGCGGGAGAACUUCCUAUAUGUUCUUCGAUGCCCUCCCUACGCUCCUUGCUCCUAAGUAACAACGAAUUUUCUGGAAAGUUCCCAUCCUUGAUCCAAAGCCUCCCAAUCUAACUUUGCUUGAUCUUUCAUGGAACAAAUUCUAUGGGACAUUACCAAUAUGGAUCGGACAUCUGGCAGAGCUGCGAUUCCUAGAUCUGAGCCACAACAUGUUAUAUGGGAGUAUUCCAGUGAAUAUCACACAUCUUAGACAACUUCAACUCUUGAAUUUAUCAUUCAACAAUAUAUCAGGAUCAAUUCCUCAGUCAUUAUCAAAGCUAAUGGCAAUGACAAAAACGCAUAUGCCCGGACCUACUAAUGGACCUUAUUGGUACACAAGUUCGGAGAAUACU